rnacentral:lncRNA from 1 species
UCCCUCCUUUCUUUCUUUUCUUUAUUUUUUUUUUAAUAGAAAUCUUGUAAGCUAUCGGGCAUGUUUUAGAGUGGGUUAAGGCUUCUGGUUAGUUUGGUUUGAUUAGAAUUCUAGAUUUUAAGAAAAUUAUCGCACUAGCUAUACAUACGAUUGGUUAUAGAUAAUUAUUGAUAGAUUAAUUUUUUAACCAUCUAUAUUGGAUCCA